AUGUACGUAUUUCUCAAAAAGAAAAAAACUCGAUGUACGUGUACGUAUAACUUGCGAAGCUGCCCAGAUCGGAUCCGAAUCUGUCUCGGCCGCUUCGUGAUUCACGUGGCCGUAGCAGUGUAUCGUGCAGGUCUCGGAUCUUGUCAGAGCUGUACAUGUUUUCUCAGACACUUCUAUAAGUUACAAUUACAAAUGUAUAUAAGCUCGGAGAAUAUGCCACAUUGGAUUCUCCUGCCACAAAACAAAAAAAUCAUCUACCCCAGCUACUUCCCCAAAAGUGUCACUGUCCAGUGGGUCCUCUCUCGAUCUUCUUUAUAG
rnacentral:rRNA from 1 species